CCCUUAGAUGUUCUGGGCCGCACGCGCGCUACACUGACGAUGUCAGAGAGUGUCUCCUUCACCGAGAGGUGUGGGUAAUCUUUUAAACAUCGUCGUGCUGGGGAUAGAUCAUUGCAAUUUUUGAUCUUAAACGAGGAAUUCCUAGUAAGCGCGAGUCAUCAGCUCGCGCUGAUUACGUCCCUGCCCUUUGUACACACCGCCCGUCGCUCCUACCGAUUGAGUGGUCCGGUGAGGCUUUGGGAUCUGAGCGGAAAGAGCGUUUCGCUGUUUCUGCUCGGAAAACUCAGUCGAACCUUAUCAUUUAGAGGAAGGAGAAGUCGUAACA
rnacentral:rRNA from 1 species